UAAGCAAUUUGUUCUAUCGCUUCCGCCAUUGGCGGAGGAGGAAAGUCGGGGCAGCACAGGGCGCCAUACUUCCUAACGGGAAGGUUCUGCUGGUGGAGCGGAAACAGCAAGUGCCACAGAAAAUAACUGCCGACGUUGGAGUUUUUGGUGCAGGUUUGCCUUCGCUAAAGCUCCUGCGGGCGAUGGUGAAAAUGUGAGGUAAGAGCUCACGUCGCGUAAGGGCGACCUUACGGGAGGGUAAACCUUAUGGGCUGAAAGACCAAAUAUACCAGGGCUCCCGGAUUAUCCGGGAUAAGGGCUGCCCGCCCGAUCCUGGGGGGUAGGUCGUUAGAGCCUGGCGGCAACACCAGGCCCAGAUAAAUGAUAGAAGCCCGCAACUGCGGGAACAGAACCCCGCUUAUAGAAUUGCUUUCCAC
rnacentral:RNase_P_RNA from 1 species